rnacentral:rRNA from 1 species
UACAGAGGGGGCAAGCGUUAUCCGGAAUGAUUGGGCGUAAAGCGUCCGCAGGUGGCUGUGUAAGUCUGCUGUCAAAGAGCGAAGCUCAACUUCGUAAAGGCAGUGGAAACUACACGGCUAGAGUGCGUUCGGGGCAGAGGGAAUUCCUGGUGUAGCGGUGAAAUGCGUAGAGAUCAGGAAGAACACCGGUGGCGAAGGCGCUCUGCUAGGCCGCAACUGACACUGAGGGACGAAAGCUAGGGGAGCGAAUGGG